AACAAUUAUCUAUUUUUGCCCUCGUUAGUAAUAAUAGGAGCGAUCCAAAUAAUCUAUGCAGCUUCAACUUCUCUUGGUCAACAAAAUUUCAAAAAAAGAAUAGCUUAUUCCUUUGUAUCUCAAAUGGGUUUCAUAAUUAUAGGAAUUGGUUCCAUAACCAACGUUGGACUCAAUGGAGCUUUAGAAAUAUUAUCCCAUGGAUUUAUUGGUGCUACACUUUUUUUCUUGGCAGCAACCGCUUCUGAUAGAAUGCGUCUUGUUUAUCUCGAAGAACUGGGGGGAAUAUCUAUCUCAAUGCCUAAAAGUUUUACCAUGUUUAGUAGCUUUUCAAUGGCUUCUCUUGCCUUACCAGGAAUGUGUGGUUUUGUCGCAGAAUUAGUAGUAUUUUUUGGACUAAUUACUAGUCCAAAAUUUCUGUUAAUGCCAAAAACACUAAUUACUUUUGUAAUGGCAAUUGGAAUGAUGUUAACUCCUAUUUAUUUAUUUUCUAUGUUACGUCAGAUGUUCUAUGGAUACAAGCUAUUUAAUGUUCCAAACACAAAUUUUGUGGAUUCUGGACCAUGACAACUCUUUAUUUUAAUCUGUAUAUUUUUACCAGUAAUAGGAAUUGGUUUUUAUCCAGAUUUUGUUCUCUCCCUAUCCGUUGACAGGGUAGAGGCUCUCUUAUCCAAUUAUUAUCCUAAAUAG
rnacentral:rRNA from 1 species